GACGUAGGGGGCCAGCGUUGUUCGGAAUUACUGGGUGUAAAGGGUUCGUAGGCGGUGUGGCAAGUCGGGGAGUGAAAUCUCUGGGCUCAACCCAGAGUCUGCUUCCGAAACUGCUGUGCUUGAGUGUGGGAGAGGCGCGUGGAAUUGCAGGUGUAGCGGUGAAAUGCGUAGAUAUCUGCAGGAACACCCGUGGCGAAAGCGGCGCGCUGGACCACUACUGACGCUGAGGAACGAAAGCUAGGGGAGCAAACAGG
rnacentral:rRNA from 1 species